CGGCGUGCCUAAUACAUGCAAGUCGAGCGCGGGAUUGAGGAGCUUGCUCCUCAAUCCCGAGCGGCGGACGGGUGAGUAACACGUAGGCAACCUACCCAUCAGACCGGGAUAACCGCGGGAAACCGUGGCUAAUACCGGAUGAUCCUUCCGGACACAAGUCGGGAAGUUGAAAGGCGCUUUUGGUGCCGUUGAUGGAUGGGCCUGCGGCGCAUUAGCUGGUUGGUGAGGUAACGGCUCACCAAGGCGACGAUGCGUAGCCGACCUGAGAGGGUGAUCGGCCACACUGGGACUGAGACACGGCCCAGACUCCUACGGGAGGCAGCAGUAGGGAAUCAUCCGCAAUGGACGAAAGUCUGACGGUGCAACGCCGCGUGAGUGAAGAAGGGUUUCGGCUCGUAAAACUCUGUUGUUAAGGAAGAAUGUCGGUGAGAGUAACUGCUCACCGAGUGACGGUACUUAACCAGAAAGCCACGGCUAACUACGUGCCAGCAGCCGCGGUAAUACGUAGGUGGCAAGCGUUAUCCGGAAUUAUUGGGCGUAAAGCGCGCGUAGGCG
rnacentral:rRNA from 1 species